UUUGACUGUACAGGGAAAAUCAGAAUUUUUCCAUUUUAAAAGUUUAUUUUAAUGAUUUCUUUCCUCUUGAAAAUAUUCCAGGCAAAUCUAAAUUGUUGUUGGACAUAAGCGGUCGUCUCUGGUUUACGUAUAGAAGAAAGUUUUCGCCAAUUGGAGGGACAGGUCCUUCGUCAGAUGCUGGCUGGGGAUGUAUGCUGCGCUGUGGGCAGAUGAUGCUGGCACAAGCCCUGAUCUGCAGACACUUAGGAAGAGAUUGGCAAUGGGAAAAACAUAAAAACAACCAGAAGAAUAC